UGGGGAAUAUUGCACAAUGGGCGCAAGCCUGAUGCAGCCAUGCCGCGUGUGUGAAGAAGGCCUUCGGGUUGUAAAGCACUUUCAGCGGGGAGGAAGGCGUUAAGGUUAAUAACCUUGGCGAUUGACGUUACCCGCAGAAGAAGCACCGGCUAACUCCGUGCCAGCAGCCGCGGUAAUACGGAGUGUGCAAGCGUUAAUCGGAAUUACUGGGCGUAAAGCGCACGCAGGCGGUCUGUCAAGUCGGAUGUGAAAUCCCCGGGCUCAACCUGGGAACUGCAUUCGAAACUGGCAGGCUAGAAUCUUGAAGAGGGGGGUAGAAUUCCAGGUGUAGCGGUGAAAUGCGUAGAGAUCUGGAGGAAUACCGGUGGCGAAGGCGGCCCCCUGGACAAAGAAUGACGCUCAGGUGCGAAAGCGUGGGGAGCAAACAGG
rnacentral:rRNA from 1 species